GACAGAGGGUGCAAACGUUGUUCGGAAUUAUUGGGCGUAAAGGGCGCGUAGGCGGUGUGUCAAGUCAGGCGUGAAAGCCCCGGGCUCAACCUGGGAACCGCGCUUGAGACUGGCACGCUCGAGUUCGGGAGAGGAUGGUGGAAUUCCCAGUGUAGAGGUGAAAUUCGUAGAUAUUGGGAAGAACACCGAUGGCGAAGGCAGCCAUCUGGACCGACACUGACGCUGAGGCGCGAAAGCGUGGGGAGCAAACAGG
rnacentral:rRNA from 1 species